rnacentral:rRNA from 1 species
UACUUGUACUGAUUGAGAUUUUAACACGAAGUGAGUGGCGAACGGGUGAGUAACACGUGGGUAACCUGCCCAGAAGUAGGGGAUAACACCUGGAAACAGAUGCUAAUACCGUAUAACAGAGAAAACCGCAUGGUUUUCUUUUAAAAGAUGGCUCUGCUAUCACUUCUGGAUGGACCCGCGGCGUAUUAGCUAGUUGGUGAGGUAAAGGCUCACCAAGGCAGUGAUACGUAGCCGACCUGAGAGGGUAAUCGGCCACAUUGGGACUGAGACACGGCCCAGACUCCUACGGGAGGCAGCAGUAGGGAAUCUUCCACAAUGGACGCAAGUCUGAUGGAGCAACGCCGCGUGAGUGAAGAAGGGUUUCGGCUCGUAAAGCUCUGUUGUUAAAGAAGAACGUGGGUAAGAGUAACUGUUUACCCAGUGACGGUAUUUAACCAGAAAGCCACGGCUAACUACGUGCCAGCAGCCGCGGUAAUACGUAGGUGGCAAGCGUUAUCCGGAUUUAUUGGGCGUAAAGCGAGCGCAGGCGGUCUUUUAAGUCUAAUGUGAAAGCCUUCGGCUCAACCGAAGAAGUGCAUUGGAAACUGGGAGACUUGAGUGCAGAAGAGGACAGUGGAACUCCAUGUGUAGCGGUGAAAUGCGUAGAUAUAUGGAAGAACACCAGUGGCGAAGGCGGCUGUCUGGUCUGCAACUGACGCUGAGGCUCGAAAGCAUGGGUAGCGAACAGGAUUAGAUACCCUGGUAGUCCAUGCCGUAAACGAUGAUUACUAAGUGUUGGG